AUUGAACGCUGGCGGCAGGCCUAACACAUGCAAGUCGAGCGGAUGAAGGGAGCUUGCUCCUGGAUUCAGCGGCGGACGGGUGAGUAAUGCCUAGGAAUCUGCCUGGUAGUGGGGGAUAACGUCCGGAAACGGGCGCUAAUACCGCAUACGUCCUGAGGGAGAAAGUGGGGGAUCUUCGGACCUCACGCUAUCAGAUGCGCCUAGGUCGGAUUAGCUAGUUGGUGGGGUAAAGGCCUACCAAGGCGACGAUCCGUAACUGGUCUGAGAGGAUGAUCAGUCACACUGGAACUGAGACACGGUCCAGACUCCUACGGGAGGCAGCAGUGGGGAAUAUUGGACAAUGGGCGAAAGCCUGAUCCAGCCAUGCCGCGUGUGUGAAGAAGGUCUUCGGAUUGUAAAGCACUUUAAGUUGGGAGGAAGGGCAGUAAGUUAAUACCUUGCUGUUUUGACGUUACCAACAGAAUAAGCACCGGCUAACUUCGU
rnacentral:rRNA from 1 species